UGAAGGCUCCUGGGAUGCUUGAGGCAUUCACGGUUAAAGGGCUGGAGAAGAGGGAAUUUUAAGAUGCUGGAGUUGUCUAAAUGUAGAUUCUUUGUGCAAGUUUCUCGUAGAUAUGCUACAAUCAUGAGGAGAGAAAUGGCAAGAGACAGCUUUACCAUCCUGAGACAUCUGCCCGUAGUACAAACCAGUUAAUAUGAACAAAGGUUGAACUGCAGAGGCAAAGGAUUUACCAGGAAAACUAUGUAUGACCAUGGACCACCCUGUGAGCUUCUGUUCAGGAAUCUUCAGGAAAAGGCCGGUCUCCUGGCCCUCCAGGAUUUCCAUUCAGUGGAGUGAAAGCUGUCCUCCAGAAUCCUGCAAUACACAACAGAUGUGGGGGCUGAGAGAUGGGCAUGGAGCAAGCAGGGUCUCCUGGGCUGUGCUGCAGAGCUCCUUUCCUGAGGUCAGCUGCUUCUCUUUACACUGUGCAUCAGCUGGGCUACAGAGUCUCUCUAUUCCCGCAGAGACAUCUAUCCUGCUUCUCCAGACUCAAUGAUCUCCCAGUUGUCUUAAUAAAUCUGGCAUCCCAGUGGCAUCUGACUCUUCAUUUU